UGCCCAAGAGAUCGGGAUAACACCUGGAAACAGAUGCUAAUACCGGAUAACAACAGAUGAUGCCUAUCAACUGUUUAAAAGAUGGUUCUGCUAUCACUCUUGGAUGGACCUGCGGUGCAUUAGCUAGUUGGUAGGGUAACGGCCUGCCAAGGCGAUGAUGCAUAGCCGAGUUGAGAGACUGAUCGGCCACAUUGGGACUGAGACACGGCCCAAACUCCUACGGGAGGCAGCAGAC
rnacentral:rRNA from 1 species